GGCGAACGGGUGAGUAAUGCAUCGGAACAUGUCCAUUCGUGGGGGAUAGCCCGGCGAAAGCCGGAUUAAUACCGCAUACGCCCUGAGGGGGAAAGCGGGGGACUUCGCAAGAGGCCUCGCGCGAAUGGGUUGGCCGAUGUCCGAUUAGCUAGUUGGUGGGGUAAAGGCUUACCAAGGCGAUGAUCGGUAGCUGGUCUGAGAGGAUGAUCAGCCACACUGGGACUGAGACACGGCCCAGACUCCUACGGGAGGCAGCAGUGGGGAAUUUUGGACAAUGGGGGCAACCCUGAUCCAGCCAUUCCGCGUGAGUGAAGAAGGCCUUCGGGUUGUAAAGCUCUUUUGUCCGGAACGAAACGGUUAGCGUGAAUAUCGCUGACUACUGACGGUACCGGAAGAAUAAGCACCGGCUAACUACGUGCCAGCAGCCGCGG
rnacentral:rRNA from 1 species